AGUGAACGCUGGCGGUAGGCCUAACACAUGCAAGUCGAACGGCAGCACAGUAAGAGCUUGCUCUUACGGGUGGCGAGUGGCGGACGGGUGAGGAAUACAUCGGAAUCUACUUUUUCGUGGGGGAUAACGUAGGGAAACUUACGCUAAUACCGCAUACGACCUACGGGCGAAAGCAGGGGAUCUUCGGACCUUGCGCGAUUGAAUGAGCCGAUGUCGGAUUAGCUAGUUGGCGGGGUAAAGGCCCACCAAGGCAACGAUCCGUAGCUGGUCUGAGAGGAUGAUCAGCCACACUGGAACUGAGACACGGUCCAGACUCCUACGGGAGGCAGCAGUGGGGAAUAUUGGACAAUGGGCGCAAGCCUGAUCCAGCCAUACCGCGUGGGUGAAGAAGGCCUUCGGGUUGUAAAGCCCUUUUGUUGGGAAAGAAAAGCAGCAGGUUAAUACCCCGCUGUUCUGACGGUACCCAAAGAAUAAGCACCGGCUAACUUCGUG
rnacentral:rRNA from 1 species